AGAAAGCUAGCUGCAGGGCCUGCUUGCCGGCGGCUGCCUGGCCACUGGCUGGUUGCCUGAGCUUCAGGCGUGGCUGCAUGUGCAGGGGCUGGGCGCCCACGCUCUGUUCUCCUGCAUGACAAGGAGACGCAGCACGGCACACAGCACACCGGCCCAAUGCCAGCUGCUCCGAAGAGGGGCCUCCAUGGCAGGGCCUGAGCAUCGAGACAACGCUCGCCGCCGCUGCCGCCGUGGAGAGGCGCCCGUGUGCCACCUCCCGCGAUCAUACCCUGGGGGCAGGGUGGGCUCUGCUCCACUUGCUGCGAGAGAGGGGAGCAAAGGGAGGGGCUCUGGCAGGCCCUCCUCCAAGUUAAUGUACCGGAAACAACGGAACAACGACUUCUGCACAGAACAGACGGGUGGCGCGAUCGUUCAGUAGCUGCUGCGCAUUUCCUGAGGCAGAUGUGGCACUGCUGCUUCUGUGGUGGCCCCAUCACGACGCUGAUCCUGGGCAUGCUGAUGGCGACCGCCGUGACCCCGAUGACGACACAGCCGCAGGGACAGAUUCUCGGGGGCUUUGCAAGAGCAACCUGGGCCAUCAGAAGUGCCAGAGCCGACAUCUGUCCCGGGCCUUGCAGUUGGGACAUGGAAACACGAGUCUAAAUGACAAGAAACAAGAUCACACAAGUCCCCAUCAUGUCGCGAGACCUUACCAUUGUUCUGCAGCGACAAUGAGCACUUACAAGCCGGGCCAUCUGGAGGUUGGCCACGGUGGUGCCCGUGAGCAGGGCUCCCGGCCGCGGAGCUGUGACAGUGGCGUGCCUAGCUGACAUGCGUCAGGGAAGGCUGUCACAAAGGCACAUGUCCCAUCAGAGCGUAGCGGUCAUCACUGGACGACGGCGCAGACAUGGUCAUGACCUGCCGGCUCUCAGGUGCCAUGGUCAGGCACCCCUUCCUCUGUGCCUACAGCACCUUCCCUACACCUUCUAACACCACCAGCACUCUGUGAGUUCCUGGAGGGCAUAUAUCGGCUUUCCUCUCCAAAAAAAGCUUGAAUUCCUGGGCCAAUCACGACCCCACGGGGUUACAAUACUGAGUGAAUUCAGCAGAAAGCGUAGACACUUUUAUCAUCUCUCAAUGUCCCUUCACGGUAGACUUAAAAGUUUCCCCAGAUAACCUCUUGUUUCUAUGUCCACGGUCACUUACUGGCUACAAAGGAACCACUUCUCCUGAAAAGGAACCUCCUCGUGCACCCCUCCUCCUAAUCUAAGCUGAGUCUUGUUAUGAGCUGUUCCCUACACAAGAAAAACCACCCAACCAGUGUCUACACACGAGCUCCCUCUGUCUUCUUGAAGCCACAUGUCUUGCCAUCAAAUUUUCCCUGAAGGAAAUGACGUAAAGAUCUGCAACUACGAGAGCUGAAGUUUUCUGCACAUGCACGUGCUGACCGGGUGGGGCAAGCCUGUGGGUUUCCGAGACUCGUGGACACUGCUGGCCCUCGUGCCCGACUCAGUGGAUGGCAGUCCCAGCGAGGGAGGUGGAAGCAAAGAGGGGAAGACCUUCUUUUCUCCUCUUCUUUCUUCAGCUACAACUAGAUAUUUAGUGACAGAGAAGAAGGCAGAUAAGUACUGGCGAAUUGGGAAACCAGCACAUGGUGUGCACGGUGUGUACAACCUGGCGACUGCGGGCGGCCUGAGUCUCAGCAAGACCUCAGGAAACAGUGACGCAGGCGGUCCUACAAGACGUGCUCCAUGCAGCCGCAUCCCGAGUUUGCAGCAGUAAUCCUGGUUCUCCUCGUUGGCUGCUUUCCCCGGGAAGUGCAAACAGGGCCUCGAGAUCCCCAGGAUUAGAAAGUGCACAUGGUCCACAGCUCCAUGAGCGUGUUGUGCAAAGGACUGUGUAUCAGGAGCAAGCGGUGCUGACUGCGAAAGAGAAGCAGCGCGUUUCUCAGUUUCCCCUCGUCACACUCGACAGUUCUCAACAAACCCACAUUGCUCCGUCCCAGAAGAUUCUGUUACACAGCAUGUCAAACCUCGUGACAACAAAUGCUGCUAGUUAGAGUUGUGUGACGCCAGCACGUCUGCCUUCGGCCCCGGCUCACAUUUCAGACAACAACGAUAUAACCAACUCUAACGUCACCUCAUCACCCAGCGAGUCCUCGGCUUUGAACUGACCGGUCCGAAAUCCACUUAGUGUUACUGCGUCUGUGUCCAUGACUGCCUUCUCCGGGCAGGUUCGCCCAGGAAGCACCGAAACGAGCCUCUUCCCGUGAGUUCAUGCGUCCUUCAGGUUACAAAUUCUUGGGGCCGGCCCCGUGGCCGAGUGGUUAAGUUCGUGCGCUCCGCUUUGGUGGCCCAGGGUUUCGCCGGUUCAAAUCCUGGGCACGGACACGGCACCGCUCAUCAAGCUGUGCUGAGGCGGCGUCCCACAUGCCACAACUGGAAGGACCCACAACUAAAAAUACACAACUAUGUACCGGGGAGCUUUGGGGA
ensembl:lncRNA